GUGCUCUCUUCAGCAGCACAUAUAGUAAAAUUGGAACAAUACAGAGAAGAUUAGCAUAGCCCCUGCGCAAGUCAACACACAAAUUUGUGAAACGUUCCAUAUUUUU
ensembl:snRNA U6 U6 spliceosomal RNA